rnacentral:rRNA from 1 species
GACGAACGCUGGCGGCGUGCUUAACACAUGCAAGUCGAACGGAAAGGCCCUGCUUGCAGGGUACUCGAGUGGCGAACGGGUGAGUAACACGUGGGUGAUCUGCCCUGCACUUCGGGAUAAGCCUGGGAAACUGGGUCUAAUACCGGAUAGGAGCCAUUUUUAGUGUGGUGGUUGGAAAGUUUUUUCGGUGUAGGAUGAGCUCGCGGCCUAUCAGCUUGUUGGUGGGGUAAUGGCCUACCAAGGCGGCGACGGGUAGCCGGCCUGCGAGGGUGGACGGCCACAUUGGGACUGAGAUACGGCCCAGACUCCUACGGGAGGCAGCAGUGGGGAAUAUUGCACCAUGGGCGCAAGCCUGAUGCAGCGACGCCGCGUGGGGGAUGACGGCCUUCGGGUUGUAAACUCCUUUCGCUAGGGACGAAGCUUUUUGUGACGGUACCUAGAUAAGAAGCACCGGCUAACUACGUG